rnacentral:rRNA from 1 species
GUUGUUGGGUAGGGGAGCGUUCUGUAAGCCUGUGAAGGUGGCCUGUGAGGGUUGCUGGAGGUAUCAGAAGUGCGAAUGCUGACAUAAGUAACGAUAAAGCGGGUGAAAAGCCCGCUCGCCGGAAGACCAAGGGUUCCUGUCCAACGUUAAUCGGGGCAGGGUGAGUCGACCCCUAAGGCGAGGCCGAAAGGCGUAGUCGAUGGGAAACGGGUUAAUAUUCCCGUACUUGGUGUUACUGCGAAGGGGGGACGGAGAAGGCUAUGUUGGCCGGGCGACGGUUGUCCCGGUUUAAGCGUGUAGGUGUGUGUUCCAGGUAAAUCCGGUUCACUUUAACACUGAGGCGUGACGACGAGGCACUACGGUGCUGAAGCAACAAAUGCCCUGCUUCCAGGAAAAGCCUCUAAGCAUCAGGUAACAUCAAAUCGUACCCCAAACCGACACAGGUGGUCAGGUAGAGAAUACCAAGGCGCUUGAGAGAACUCGGGUGAAGGAACUAGGCAAAAUGGUGCCGUAACUUCGGGAGAAGGCACGCUGACACGUAGGUGAAGUGAUUUACUCAUGGAGCUGAAGUCAGUCGAAGAUACCAGCUGGCUGCAACUGUUUAUUAAAAACACAGCACUGUGCAAACACGAAAGUGGACGUAUACGGUGUGACGCCUGCCCGGUGCCGGAAGGUUAAUUGAUGGGGUCAGCGCAAGCGAAGCUCCUGAUCGAAGCCCCGGUAAACGGCGGCCGUAACUAUAACGGUCCUAAGGUAGCGAAAUUCCUUGUCGGGUAAGUUCCGACCUGCACGAAUGGCGUAAUGAUGGCCAGGCUGUCUCCACCCGAGACUCAGUGAAAUUGAACUCGCUGUGAAGAUGCAGUGUACCCGCGGCAAGACGGAAAGACCCCGUGAACCUUUACUAUAGCUUGACACUGAACAUUGAGCCUUGAUGUGUAGGAUAGGUGGGAGGCUUUGAAGUGUGGACGCCAGUCUGCAUGGAGCCGACCUUGAAAUACCACCCUUUAAUGUUUGAUGUUCUAACGUGGACCCGUGAUCCGGGUUGCGGACAGUGUCUGGUGGGUAGUUUGACUGGGGCGGUCUCCUCCUAAAGAGUAACGGAGGAGCACGAAGGUUGGCUAAUCCUGGUCGGACAUCAGGAGGUUAGUGCAAUGGCAUAAGCCAGCUUGACUGCGAGCGUGACGGCGCGAGCAGGUGCGAAAGCAGGUCAUAGUGAUCCGGUGGUUCUGAAUGGAAGGGCCAUCGCUCAACGGAUAAAAGGUACUCCGGGGAUAACAGGCUGAUACCGCCCAAGAGUUCAUAUCGACGGCGGUGUUUGGCACCUCGAUGUCGGCUCAUCACAUCCUGGGGCUGAAGUAGGUCCCAAGGGUAUGGCUGUUCGCCAUUUAAAGUGGUACGCGAGCUGGGUUUAGAACGUCGUGAGACAGUUCGGUCCCUAUCUGCCGUGGGCGCUGGAGAACUGAGGGGGGCUGCUCCUAGUACGAGAGGACCGGAGUGGACGCAUCACUGGUGUUCGGGUUGUCAUGCCAAUGGCACUGCCCGGUAGCUAAAUGCGGAAGAGAUAAGUGCUGAAAGCAUCUAAGCACGAAACUUGCCCCGAGAUGAGUUCUCCCUGAGACUUAGAGUCUCCUGAAGGAACGUUGAAGACGACGACGUUGAUAGGCCGGGUGUGUAAGCGCAGCGAUGCGUUGAGCUAACCGGUACUAAUGAACCGUGAGGCUUAACCUUAC